rnacentral:rRNA from 1 species
GCAAGUCGAGCGAGAAAGGUCUUUGGACUGAGUAGAGCGGCGGACGGGUGAGUAACGCGUAGGAAUCUACCUAGUAGUGGGGGACAACAUGUGGAAACGCAUGCUAAUACCGCAUACGCCCUACGGGGGAAAGGGGGCUUCGGCUCUCGCUAUUAGAUGAGCCUGCGUAAGAUUAGCUAGUUGGUGGGGUAAAGGCUCACCAAGGCGACGAUCUUUAGCUGGUCUGAGAGGAUGAUC